rnacentral:rRNA from 1 species
UUUCCUACGGGGGGCAGCAGUGGGGAAUAUUGCACAAUGGGGGAAACCCUGAUGCAGCGACGCCGCGUGAGUGAAGAAGUAUUUCGGUACGUAAAGCUCUAUCAGCAGGGAAGAAAAACCGGCCUUAGGGCCGCCAGACGGUACCUGACUAAGAAGCCCCGGCUAACUACGUGCCAGCAGCCGCGGUAAUACGUAGGGGGCAAGCGUUAUCCGGAUUUACUGGGUGUAAAGGGGGCGCAGACGGCGAUGCAAGCCAGGAGUGAAAGCCCGGGGCCCAACCCCGGGACUGCUCUUGGAACUGCGUG